GACGAACGCUGGCGGCGCGCUUAACACAUGCAAGUCGAGCGAUGAAAUUUCGACAGAUCCCUUCGGGGUGAAGAUGAAAUGGAUUAGCGGCGGACGGGUGAGUAACACGUGAGUAACCUGCCUUUGACAUUGGGAUAGCCUCGGGAAACUGGGAUUAAUACCAAAUGACACUAACUGAUCACAUGAUCAAUUAGUCAAAGAAAUUCGGUCAAAGAUGGACUCGCGGCUGAUUAGCUAGUUGGUGAGGUAACGGCCCACCAAGGCGACGAUCAGUAGCCGGGCUGAGAGGGGGAUCGGCCGCAUUGGAACUGAGACACGGACCAAACUCCUACGGGAGGCAGCAGUAGGGAAUAUUACACAAUGGGGGAAACCCUGAUGCAGCCACGCCGCGUGAGAGAAGAAGGCCUUCGGGUCGUAAAGCUCUUUUAUGAGGGAAGAGAAUGACGGUACCUGAAGAAGAAGCCCCGGCUAACUACGUG
rnacentral:rRNA from 1 species